CCAUGAAGACCAGCAGCCUCAAGGAGAUUGAGGAAAAUGACACUGAUCACAGGCGUCCCCAGCCUGAAUUGGCCCUGUGACCAGAGGAAAGGGGAGUGGCUUCUCUCUGGGAAAUGUCUCUCAGGCCCAAGUAGCUAAAUAAGUAGAAAUACUGCAAAAAAACACAACUAGAGUCCCCAGGCAGACAUCUUCUUGAUGCAGGUGUUACGUUAUGAGGCUACCAUGGGCCCCUGGCUCCUGGGCUCUGUGGUCCUUUGUCUCCUGGGAGCAGGCCCCCUGGAAGCCCAGGUGACCCAGAACCCCAGGUACCUCAUCACCAAGACUGGAAAGACGUUGACGGUGACUUGUUCUCAGAAUAUGAACCAUGACUGUAUGUACUGGUAUCGACAAGACCCAGGAUUGGGUCUCAAGCUGAUCUACCUUUCAAUUAAUGUUGAAAUGUUUGAUAAGGGAGAUAUCUCCGAUGGAUACAUUGUCUCUCGAAAAGAGAAGAAGGAAUUUCCUCUGACAUUGAUGUCAACCAGCAUCAACCAGACCUCCCUGUACUUCUGUGCCAGUAGUUUAUCCACAGCACAGCACAGACAGCUGCUCUCUGCACAAAAAGGGGCAGCCACAAAAAUAGGUGACUCCUCCCCAGGAAGGUCCCACCCAAAACAAAAGGAAAAUUGCUCCCACCACCAUUGA